UACAGAGGGUGCAAGCGUUAAUCGGAAUUACUGGGCGUAAAGCGCGCGUAGGCGGGCAUUUAAGUCGGAUGUGAAAUCCCCGGGCUUAACCUGGGAACUGCAUUCGAGACUGAAUGCCUUGAGUAUGGUAGAGGAAAGUGGAAUUUCCGGUGUAGCGGUGAAAUGCGUAGAUAUCGGAAGGAACACCAGUGGCGAAGGCGGCUUUCUGGACCAAUACUGACGCUGAGGUGCGAAAGCGUGGGGAGCAAACAGG
rnacentral:rRNA from 1 species